GGAAGGCCUUUGGGUUGUAAACCCCUUUUCUCAGGGAAGAAGAUCUGACGGUACCUGAGGAAUAAGCAUCGGCUAACUCCGUGCCAGCAGCCGCGGUAAUACGGAGGAUGCAAGCGUUAUCCGGAAUUAUUGGGCGUAAAGCGUCCGCAGGUGGUCUUUCAAGUCUGCUGUCAAAGACCAGAGCUUAACUCUGGGCAGUCGGUGGAAACUGAGAGACUAGAGUUCGGUAGGGGUAGCGGGAAUUCCCACNGUAGCGGUGAAAUGCGUAGAUANUGGGAAGAACAUCGGUGGCGAA
rnacentral:rRNA from 1 species